CCUACGGGAGGCAGCAGUGGGGAAUUUUGCGCAAUGCUCGUAAGAGUGACGCAGCGACGCCGCGUGAAUGACGAAGGCCUUCGGGUCGUAAAGUUUUUUCGACAGGGAAGAAAAUGCCUAUAAGUAACUGUGUAUGUAUUGACGGUACCUGUAUAAGCAGCCCCGGCUAACUCCGUGCCAGCAGCCGCGGUAAUACGGAGGGGGCGAGCGUUGUUCGGAGUGACUGGGCGUAAAGAGCACGUAGGCGGUGUUGUAAGUCAUUAGUCAAAGACUAGAGCUCAACUUUAGUAAGGCUAGUGAUACUAUAAUACUGGAGUAUCAGAGAGGAUUGCAGAAUGCCUGGUGUAGCGGUGAAAUGCGUAGAUAUCAGGAGGAAUACCGUUAGCGAAGGCGGCAAUCUGGCUGGAAACUGACGCUGAGGUGCGAAAGCGUGGGUAGCAAACAGGAUUAGAUACCCCAGUAGUC
rnacentral:rRNA from 1 species